CUGGGACAGGAAAUAGAUGGUUUAAUUUAAUCAGCUGGAGUUGUUGCUCUACAGCCUUGGGGGAGACUUCUUUCCCUGGCACACAACCCCGGGCAGUGCUGCAGGGUUGUGCUGAGUAUCUAGGCAGUCAUGCUUGCCCUUGCAGGCUGGCAGUAUACUGCAAAGUUGGAGGAGCAGCCCUUAAUGCUUCCAGGCCACAGUUGCCAAGUGGACUCAAUUGUGUCAGCGUAACAUACGUACUGUUUGCUCAGGUGUUGAAGAAGAACAUGUUCUUUGCUCAGCUAGGGUUCCUAGGCACUUUCGUUGGAAUCGGCACAAUGCUGCAUUGGGAUCUUCUUUGAGGAAGUGGCUCUGACCAGGCCCACGAGUUAUGCAGGGCUUUCCAGCUGCAGUCGGAUGGGAGCAGUGUCUCAGCAAAGAUUUCUUGGGAGAAAAAGCUUUCUGAGUGACAGCUGUAAUGAGUGUGGGGGAGUUAUGGAGAGCAUGAGCAGUGAAAUUUAAUAGCCUCCUGUACAUAGUGUUUUACUCUUUGAGUGCUGUGUGAGCAGCCCCUCUCCUCCGUGGCGAUCAGUAUUGAUAAAUUGUAUAGUCAAUUGCCUGACCACACUUUGGUUUAUUUCGUCUGAAAUAUACUCAAGACCAAAUGAUCAACGUCGGGUUUAUUAAUGCGAUACAGGAAAAAGUUUCUAGACCAUACCGGUCUCCAAAGAGUAGUCGCAUGCAGCGAUGAUACCUUAAUCUUAUGCAGAAGUUGUGCUCCUCAAGUUACAGGUUUUGGCUGCAGCUAUUUAUGUGACUUUACAAGUUAUCCAUUUCUUUAUGUGACACUAAAAUCCAACCCAUCAGUUUGUUCCAGUUCCUUAACUUCUUGUUCUGUUCCUUCCUUAGCUUUGUUUUGAACACUAGCAUUCCACCUACUGAUCCAUGAAGGUCCUUCCCUAGUUUGUACCAUGACAGAGAACGAAUGUGUCUUCAUUUUGACAAGUUUCUUAUCAGCUUGUGCCAGAUGCUCACUUCAACAAAUGCCAGAAACUGAUUGUUAAAUGGAAAACCUCAGUCCUCCACUGCCAUUUGCUCCCCCGGCAAACUCACAGAAGAAACGAAAACUCCACAAGCAGAUUCUGUGCCUGCUGGAAACCUUGGAAAGGGACUGAAAAACCAAGGAGUAAACACUUCAUCAGAUGGUGCCAGGAGAAGAGGAGCUGGGUACCUCCACUUCAUUGGAUGUCGGGCUUCUGGGAACAUAAGCGGAAAGGAUGGGGCCUGCGUGAAUUUCUUUAAUUAAAUGUGGGAUCAGACUUUUG